ACUCAGUCCGCGUUUUCCCGGUCCAGUCCAGUCCAGUCCGUCUUUUACAACAUGCCGUCUGUCUGUCUGUCUGUCUGUCUGUCUGUCUGUCUGUCUGUCUGUCUGUCUGUCUGUCUGUCUGUCUGUCUUUCUGUCUGUCUGUCUGUCUGUCUUUCUGUCUGUCUGUCUGUCUGUCUGUCUGUCUGUCUGUCUGUCUGUCUGUCUGUCUGUCUGUCUGUCUGUCUGUCUGUCUGUCUGUCUGUCUGUUGUCAAAUACAAUUGACCCAUUGCAUUUAGGCGUAAUAAAUAACUAUUAUUGUAAAUUUUAACUUUACCCUAUAAUAUUGUAAACCAUAGACGUAUUUCAAUCUCUAUAUUGGUUGCAUGCAGAGUCUAUUUAAAAAAAAAUUCAAUAUAUGACUGUACGUAAUUCAGGCUGAAAUUUAAAUCAUACUAGUAGCGCUAGCUCUUCAUUCGAGCCGGACAUUACUGUAUUUUUUAUAUAAACUAUCUAGUUUUAAUUUUUUUGUACAAGUGCUAUCACCCCCAAAACAUUGCGUAUCUACUAUAGUAUGCCAUACAACAGUUAACAGAGACUCACUUUUCAAUAUACACUUAAACUAACAGAUACUGUACACAUGCAUUAAUCCUAACCCUAAUCAUGGGUUAAAAACCUUUCGAAUUAUUGUAACGUCUUCUUGGAUGUUAACUUGAAAUACGGUUACGAUUGUGUCCGUGAUUCAUUGCAUUCAUGGGAUUUUCCCAACCUCGUCCCCAGGGCCUAUUGAGGAGGGAGGCGAAGCAGCAAAGGCCCUGGUAAAGGCUGGUCACGUGAUGCUUCAAAUUUUGAAUAUUUCAGAAUAUUUAACUUUUCAAACCGGGGGUGCGGGCCGCUUUGAUUUUAUCAAACAUGGCCGUGCAAAGGGGCGAUAGAAGCUUUUGCGACUGAAACCAGAGACUGAAACUAUGAUGAUAAACUUUUCAACUGACAGUGGAAAUAAAUAUAUAGUUUGCGAUGUUCUUCAAAAAAAUAUGGAAUAUAAUCAACAGCAAUACUUGUGGAAGAUCAAGAUUCAAAGAGAAGAGUCUAAACACGGACUGAUCACAACAGUAAAUAUUUCUUUUCAGCUUGGAAAUGGAAGCGUGUUUUAUAAUAUUUGUCGUUUCGUUUGGGAGUCAAUAACAUACUAUCACUACUAGUCAUAGUUAAUAUAGAAGACCAGUGAAGAAUUUGAUUUGGGACUUUGAUGUACCUUUAUGAAAAGAUUACUACUGAAUACAAAUGUGCAUGUAAAAUGUGAUUAGAACGUUUUAAUACGAACAGUUGCAUUGUCAGUGACUCAAUAUAUUUUAAUGUGGGACAAACAUUAAAAAACAUUAAAGUACUGUGCCAAGUGACAAAAUUCCAUGCCGACCAUGGGUUACGUAUGUAUGCAUUUUUAUUAAACGUUUAUACCAAUAUACACUAUUUUAUACCUUUGUGUGUGAAUUUUGUGUGUUGAUUUUAUGAUAUUUGAUAACCAUGAAUAUCAAUAAUAUAAUAUGUUAAGAGCAAGUUUACAGUAUAUUGUAUAAUACAAAAGCAGUAUCACUGAUAUUAUCACAAGACUCAAGUACUGUACAUGGUCUAAUAGAUGUUUCUUAGUCAGCAACUAUGCUCUUUGACAUUG